rnacentral:rRNA from 1 species
GACGAACGCUGGCGGCGUGCUUAACACAUGCAAGUCGAACGGAAAGGCCCUGCUUGCCGGGUACUCGAGUGGCGAACGGGUGAGUAACACGUGGGUGAUCUGCCCUGCACUUCGGGAUAAGCCUGGGAAACUGGGUCUAAUACCGGAUAGGAGCCAUUUUUAGUGUGAUGGUUGGAAAGUUUUUCCGGUGUAGGAUGAGCCCGCGGCUUAUCAGCUUGUUGGUGGGGUAAUGGCCUACCAAGGCGCCGCCGGGUAGCCGGCCUGAGAGGGUGGACGGCCACAUUGGGACUGAGAGACGGCCCAGACUCCGACGGGAGGCAGCAGUGGGGAAUAUUGCACAAUGGGCGCAAGCCUGAUGCAGCGACGCCGCGGGGGGGAUGACGGCCUUCGGGUUGUAAACUCCGUUCGCUAGGGACGAAGCUUUUUGUGACGGUACCUAGAGAAGAAGCACCGGCUAACUACGUG